rnacentral:rRNA from 1 species
GUCGAACGAGUUCUCGUUGAUGAUCGGUGCUUGCACCGAGAUUCAACAUGGAACGAGUGGCGGACGGGUGAGUAACACGUGGGUAACCUGCCCUUAAGUGGGGGAUAACAUUUGGAAACAGAUGCUAAUACCGCAUAGAUCCAAGAACCGCAUGGUUCUUGGCUGAAAGAUGGCGUAAGCUAUCGCUUUUGGAUGGACCCGCGGCGUAUUAGCUAGUUGGUGAGGUAAUGGCUCACCAAGGCGAUGAUACGUAGCCGAACUGAGAGGUUGAUCGGCCACAUUGGGACUGAGACACGGCCCAAACUCCUACGGGAGGCAGCAGUAGGGAAUCUUCCACAAUGGACGCAAGUCCGAUGGAGCAACGCCGCGUGAGUGAAGAAGGCUUUCGGGUCGUAAAACUCUGUUGUUGGAGAAGAGUGGUCGGCAGAGUAACUGUUGCCGGCGUGACGGUAUCCAACCAGAAAGCCACGGCUAACUACGUGCCAGCAGCCGCGGUAAUACGUAGGUGGCAAGCGUUAUCCGGAUUUAUUGGGCGUAAAGCGAGUGCAGGCGGUUUUUUAAGUCUGAUGUGAAAGCCCUCGGCUUAACCGAGGAAGCGCAUCGGAAACUGGGAAACUUGAGUGCAGAAGAGGACAGUGGAACUCCAUGUGUAGCGGUGAAAUGCGUAGAUAUAUGGAAGAACACCAGUGGCGAAGGCGGCUGUCUGGUCUGUAACUGACGCUGAGGCUCGAAAGCAUGGGUAGCGAACAGGAUUAGAUACCCUGGUAGUCCAUGCCGUANACGAUGAAUGCUAGGUGUUGGAGGGUUUCCGCCCUUCAGUGCCGCAGCUAACGCAUUAAGCAUUCCGCCUGGGGAGUACGACCGCAAGGUUGAAACUCAAAGGAAUUGAC